rnacentral:lncRNA from 1 species
GGCGCGCAAAGCACCCUGGGACUUGUAGUCUCGCCCCCGCCCGCCCGCCGGCCGUUGCCCCCUCAGCCCCCGGAGGCAGGGUCCUGCGACCAGCACCCCGCGGGUCAGUUGCCUUCGUGCCACCUGGGCUCCAAGUCCUCGCCCUGCCGGAUGAAGCAAUGGUCUAUUUCUUUAUGGCAGUGUCUCAGAUCUUUUUAUAGGCCCUUGGAAAGUUCCCAGCCCAGUACCUGGCCAUUGUCCUAAGGAUAAAAUAGAACCACCUGUGUUUGGUGGGAGAAGGGCUGAGGGGGACCUCUCUGGACACUGCCCUCCCCAACCAGCAGCCAUGUAGAAAGAUGGCAAGACGAAGUCACUCAGUGGCCUUGAGGGACCAAAAGGAUCACGAUAACAUUGGUGACUUCUCUGGACCAGCCAUAGCCCUCUCCGCUGGUUUUUCCUGCAUGCUGGGGGCCUCAAAAUGACUGAAAUUGAAAAUAUUAUUCAUUCAUUUAUUCAGUAUUUACUGAGCCAUAAAUCAAUACAACGCUUAACGAAAGCAAUUUGGCAUCAUCUGCUAAAAUGACAACUGCAAAUACCCUUUGAUUCAGCGAUUCCACUUUCGAGAAUGUGUUUCAUGGAUGUAUUUAUUCUUACACUUAAUCAAAUCCAUAUAAGGUUAUCCAUUGCUGCAUUUUCAGGAAUUAAAAAAAAUUGGAAACAACUCAAAUGACCAUCAAUAGAGGACUGGUUACAAAAAUUAUUAUGUAUUCAUACAAUGGAAUAAUAUGCAGCUGUGAAAAUAAGAAUGGCACCCCUCUCUUUAGUCUUGUGGAAGGAGUGCCAAGAUACACUGUUGAAUUUUUUUUACAAGGCAAGGUGCAGAAUGCUGUAUAGUACUCUAUCUUUUAUGUAAGAAGGUGAGGAAAAUAAUAUACACACUUGGCUGGGCGCAGUAGCUCAUGCCUAUAAUCCCAACACCUUUAGUCCCAGCUACUCAAGAGGCUGAGGUGUGGGAGGAUUGCUUGAGCCCAGGAGGUUGAGGGUGCAGUGAGCUGUGGUUGCACCACUGCACUCCAGCCUGGCCAACAGAGCAAGGCUUUGUCUCAAAAAAAGAAAAGAAGAGAAGAGAAGAGAAGGGAAAAAGAAAAGAAAAGAAAAAAUAUACAUACUUAUUUGGAUGUACAUAAACCCAGGAAGGACAUUCAAGGAACAACUAACAGUGGUUAUCUAUGGGAAUGAAAUGUGGUUAGUAACUGGGUGGAUGGGGUUAAAUGCCUGGAGGAAAAAUAUUUUUACUGGUAUCUUUUUAUAUUUGUCUUUUUAAAUAUUAUGUUGAUUUAUCGUCUACUUGAAUAAUGAAUUAAAAUAUAUUUACUGAAGGCCAGGUACGGUGGUUCACGCCUGUAAUCCCAGCACUUUGGGAGGCCAAAGCAGGUGGAUCACCUGGGGUCAGGAGUUUGAGACCAGCUUGGCCAAUGUGACAAAACCCCAUCUCUAUUAAAAAUACAAAAAUUAGCCAGGUGUGGUGGUGCAUGCCUGUAGUCCCACCUACUUGGGUGGCUGAGGCAGGAAAAUCGCUUUCACCUGGGAGUUGGAGGUUGCAAUGAGUCAAGAUCAUGUCCACUAUACUCCAUCCUGGGCAACAGAGUGAUACUCUCUCUCAAAAAUAACAUAAAAUAACAGCAUAAAACAAACCUACUGAGCAUCUACCUGUGCCAAGCACUAUUCUAGAUGAAGAAACAGACACAGUGAAGUCACAGAGCCAACAAGUAAGGGAGCUGGGAUGCUAAGCCAAUAAGUCUGACUCCAGAGCCUGAAGUCUUCUACUCCCUCUCCCUGUACCUCUGGGCCCCAGGUGGAGAAGGAGAGCAGGACUACUGCAGUGUUCUUUCUAUGCCCAGGCCUCAGCACCCAGUAGGUGACCACACGUAUUGAAAUGAACAAUGACACAAAGAGCACCGUCAAGAACAACCUUUUCCUACCCCGACCCUUCUUCAUGGAGCUCACCUGGGCCUUGCCCCUCCCCAGCCCCACAUUUCCACUGAGUAUAGAGACCCGCCUUAUUUGCCUGACUUUGGAAUCUGACCUCUGGCCCGUAGCCAUCCUGGGCUCUGCCUCCUUUUGUACAUAAAGCCUUUGUCUUCUUAGGAAAAUGACCAGGUUCUGCCCAUAAAAGUAUCCAGCCUGAAAGGAAGGUGGAGAGAGAGUGCAUCAUGGAAAAUUAUAGAAAUGCAUUUCUUUGCAUUUGAAUACUUAUAGGAUCUCACUUUUGGCAGCAAACCGACUCUGGGUUAGACCCCAGCAUCCUUAGCCUUUUUGUGCCAUGGACCUCUUUGUAUGUGACGAAGCCUAUGGACUUCUCAGAAUAGACUCUUUUAAGUGCACAAAAUAAAAUACAGAGAGCAAUGGAAAUAAAUUAUAUCGAAAUAGGGUUUAUAAAAAUAUUUGUGAUAUUACAUGAUAUGUUUUAUUGGCACAUUAAAUAACAAGAUCCAGAGUUGGGUCUAAUUACUGUAAUUUUGAGGUAAUGAUGAGCAAAAAU